CCAGCACCCCGAGUGGUCGGGACGAUUAUUGGGCCUAAAGCAUCCGUAGCCGGUUUUACAAGUCCUCCGUUAAAUCCAACUGCUUAACAGAUGGGCCGCGGAGGAUACUAUAAGACUAGGAGGCAGGAGAGGCAAGCGGUACUCAGUGGGUAGGGGUAAAAUCCGUUGAUCCAUUGAAGACCACCAGUGGCGAAGGCGGCUUGCCAGAAUGCGCUCGACGGUGAGGGAUGAAAGCUGGGGGAGCAAACCGGAUUAGAUACCCGGGUAGUCCCAGCUGUAAACGAUGCAGACUCGGUGAUGGACUAGCUUUAUGCUAGUCCAGUGCCGCAGGGAAGCCGUUAAGUCUGCCGCCUGGGCAGUACGGUCGCAAGACUG
rnacentral:rRNA from 1 species